rnacentral:rRNA from 1 species
AGUGAACGCUGGCGGUAGGCCUAACACAUGCAAGUCGAACGGCAGCACAGUAAGAGCUUGCUCUUACGGGUGGCGAGUGGCGGACGGGUGAGGAAUACAUCGGAAUCUACUUUUUCGUGGGGGUUAACGUAGGGAAACUUACGCUAAUACCGCAUCCGACCUACGGGUGAAAGCAGGGGAUCUUCGGACCUUGCGCGAUUGGAUGAGCCGAUGUCGGAUUAGCUAGUUGGCGGGGUAAAGGCCCACCAAGGCGAGGAUCCGUUGCCGGUCUGAGAGGAGGGUCGGCGGCACUGGAAGUGAGACACGGACCAGACUCCUACGGGAGGCAGCAGUGGGGAAUAUUGGACAAUGGGGGCAAGCCUGAUCCAGCCAUACCGCGUGGGUGAAGAAGGCCUUCGGGUUGUAAAGCCCUUUUGUUGGGAAAGAAAAGCAGCAGGUUAAUACCCCGCGGUUCUGACGGUACCCAAUGAAUAAGCACCGGCUAACUUCGUG